GAGUUUGAUCCUGGCUCAGGAUGAACGCUAGCGGCAGGCUUAACACAUGCAAGUCGAGGGGCAGCGAGAUCAGUGCUUGCACUGAUUGUCGGCGACCGGCGCACGGGUGCGUAACGCGUAUGCAACCUACCCAUUACAGGGGGAUAACACUGAGAAAUCGGUACUAAUACCCCAUAACAUCCAGGGAGGCAUCUUCUUGGGUUGAAAACUCCGGUGGUAAUGGAUGGGCAUGCGUUGUAUUAGUUAGUUGGUGGGGUAACGGCUCACCAAGACAACGAUACAUAGGGGGACUGAGAGGUUAACCCCCCACAUUGGUACUGAGACACGGACCAAACUCCUACGGGAGGCAGCAGUGAGGAAUAUUGGUCAAUGGACGCAAGUCUGAACCAGCCAUGCCGCGUGCAGGAAGACGGCUCUAUGAGUUGUAAACUGCUUUUGUACGAGGGUAAACGCAGAUACGUGUAUCUGUCUGAAAGUAUCGUACGAAUAAGGAUCGGCUAACUCCGUGCCAGCAGCCGCGGUAAUACGGAGGAUUCAAGCGUUAUCCGGAUUUAUUGGGUUUAAAGGGUGCGUAGGCGGUCGGAUAAGUUAGAGGUGAAAUCCCGAGGCUCAACUUCGGAAUUGCCUCUGAUACUGUUCGGCUAGAGAGUAGUUGCGGUAGGCGGAAUGUAUGGUGUAGCGGUGAAAUGCUUAGAGAUCAUACAGAACACCGAUUGCGAAGGCAGCUUACCAAGCUACUUCUGACGUUGAGGCACGAAAGCGUGGGGAGCAAACAGGAUUAGAUACCCUGGUAGUCCACGCAGUAAACGAUGAUAACUCGUUGUCGGCGAUACAAUGUCGGUGACUAAGCGAAAGCGAUAAGUUAUCCACCUGGGGAGUACGUUCGCAAGAAUGAAACUCAAAGGAAUUGACGG
rnacentral:rRNA from 1 species